rnacentral:rRNA from 1 species
CUGCGAAGGCUCAUUAUAUCAGUUAUAGUUGACGUAAGAAUACUAAUUGGAUAACCGUAGUAAUUCAGAGCUAAUACAUGUAUAAAGUCUUGUAGACUGCAUUUAUUAGAAUGAAAACCAUAGGUUUCGGCCUAUUCGUGAGUAAUAAUAACUAAUCAUAUCGUAUGCUUAUGUAACGAUGUGUCUUUCAAGUUUCUGCCCUAUCAGCUUUCGAUGGUAGUGUAUUGGACUACCAUG